CCUACGGGAGGCAGCAGUGGGGAAUAUUGCACAAUGGGGGAAACCCUGAUGCAGCGACGCCGCGUGAGUGAAGAAGUAUUUCGGUAUGUAAAGCUCUAUCAGCAGGGAAGAAAAUGACGGUACCUGACUAAGAAGCCCCGGCUAACUACGUGCCAGCAGCCGCGGUAAUACGUAGGGGGCAAGCGUUAUCCGGAUUUACUGGGUGUAAAGGGAGCGUAGACGGCCAGACAAGUCAGAAGUGAAAGCCCAGGGCUCAACCCUGGGACUGCUUUUGAAACUGCCGGGCUGGAGUGCAGGAGAGGUAAGCGGAAUUCCUAGGGUAGCGGUGAAAUGCGUAGAUAUUAGGAGGAACACCAGUGGCGAAGGCGGCCUACUGGGCUUUAACUGACGCUGAGGCACGAAAGCGUGGGUAGCAAACAGGAUUAGAUACCCUAGUAGUC
rnacentral:rRNA from 1 species